rnacentral:rRNA from 1 species
UACGUAGGGGGCAAGCGUUGUCCGGAAUCAUUGGGCGUAAAGAGCGUGUAGGCGGCCAGAUAAGUCCGCUGUGAAAUCUCGAGGCUCAACUUCGAGCUGUCGGUGGAAACUGUCUGGCUAGAGUCCGGAAGAGGAGAAUGGAAUUCCUGGUGUAGCGGUGAAAUGCGCAGAUAUCAGGAAGAACACCCGUGGCGAAGGCGGUUCUCUGGGACGGUACUGACGCUGAGACGCGAAGGCGUGGGGAGCAAACAGG